UAAAGCAUCCGUAGCCGGUUCUGCAAGUCCUCCGUUAAAUCCACCUGCUCAACAGAUGGGCCGCGGAGGAUACUACAGGGCUAGGAGGCGGGAGAGGCAAGCGGUACUCAAUGGGUAGGGGUAAAAUCCACUGAUCCAUUGAAGACCACCAGUGGCGAAGGCGGCUUGCCAGAACGCGCUCGACGGUGAGGGAUGAAAGCUGGGGGAGCAAACCGGAUUAGAUACCCGGGUAGUCCCAGCUGUAAACGAUGCAGACUCGGUGAUGGGCUGGCUUUGCGCCAGCCCAGUGCCGCAGGGAAGCCGUUAAGUCUGCCGCCUGGGGAGUACGGUCGCAAGACUGAAACUUAAAGGAA
rnacentral:rRNA from 1 species